UCCACUUCAGAUACCUCGUGCCGCUUAAACCUUCCCUCUCCCGCCUAAACCCUCCUCAGCCGUGCCGUUCAGUGCCGCCGCCGCCGUCGUCAUUCUCGAAUUUGCUUCUCCUCCGUGCUGCGUCAGUCUUCGUCGAAGGUUUAUAAUGUCCGGUGAAGAUAAGAACUUGCAUAGUAUGUCGGAGUCGGAUUCCGAACAAGAAGAUGUUGGCAAAGAAGGCAUUGAAUGGAUAAUGAACCUUCCAGACGUGCCGAUGAAGCUCCCACCACAUGUAGAAUUGCAGAGGACUCGCGUCGAAUGCAAAGCCGAUGCUCCCAUUCAUACGGAUACGAUACAGUAUUCUGGAGCAUAUGCUUCGUUGGGUAUUGAUAACAGCUUACGACUGGAUUCUUUUCGCAAGAACUUCAAAAUUGAAGUGAUUGAUCUCAAAGAGGAUGACAUGGAAUUCGACAUGAUUGGCAUUGACCCAUCCCUCGCUAAUGCAUUUAGGAGAAUCCUGAUAGCUGAGGUUCCCACUAUGGCUAUUGAAAAAGUAUUGGUUGCUAACAAUACAUCAAUAGUCCAAGAUGAAGUGCUUGCCCAUAGGUUAGGUCUCAUCCCGAUUCGUGUUGAUCCAAGGCUUUUUGAGUACUCAGAUAAAGACACGCCAAAUGAGAAAAAUACAAUUGUUUUUAGACUCCAUGUUCGCUGUGAACGUGGAAAACCUCGUCUUACCGCGACUUCAGAAGCAUUGACAUGGCUACCAAAUGGUAGUGAAUUUCCUUUGGUAUCUGAUAAAUCAGUUUCAAACUCAAAGCCCAAAACAUAUACUUCUUUUAGUUGCAGCCAAGACACGCUGCCAGAAUUUGCCAACAAUCCAAUUGGUCCAAAGGACGGUGAUAUUAUACUUGCUAGACUCAGCUCGGGUCAGGAAAUUGAACUUGAAGCUCAUGCUGUUAAAGGUAUGGGUAAAACACAUGCUAAGUGGUCUCCAGUGGCCACUGCUUGGUACAGAAUGCUUCCUGAGGUUGUACUUCUGGAAGAGAUAGAGGAUGAGUUGGCAGAAGAACUCAAAAACAAAUGUCCUGUUAAUGUCUUCGACAUUGAAGAUAUAGCUAAUGGUAAGAAAAGGGCAACUGUUGCACGUCCACGAGCUUGCACAUUGUGCAGAGAAUGCAUAAGAGGAGAAGCAUGGGAGAAACGUGUCUCAUUGCGUCGGGUGAAGGAUCAUUUCAUUUUUAAGAUUGAAUCAACAGGAGCUUUACCUCCAGAGGUGCUGUUCACUGAAGCUGUAAAGAUUUUGGAAGAUAAGUGUGAACGUUUAAUUGCUGAGCUCUCUUGAUAAUUCCUGUCCAAAAGAGAUGAACGUGUACAUUAUUUCAUCUUAUUCAGCAGUCAUCAAUUUUUGUAAUAUAGGAGGUUUCAUAUUCUAUUUUUCUUUUUAAUUGACAGUAGAAUAGUAAGUUUUGCUGAUCUCUCUUGAUUCCUCCUAGAUUUUAUGAAUGCCAACUUGGAGGUGAUCGAAUAAGAGAAUGGACAAAGAUAAUGUUAUUUCUUCAAUGGAAUCUAAGUCUGUUUACUUCUAAGGAGCUCAAGUACCCAAGAUCUUUGGGUACUUAAAUUUAUAGAAAUGUAAGCUUGUUAUACUUUCUGUUAUUUAGCUUA